CCUACGGGAGGCAGCAGUGGGGAAUAUUGGGCAAUGGGCGCAAGCCUGACCCAGCAACGCCGCGUGCAGGAAGAAGGCUUUCGGGUUGUAAACUUCUUUUCUGAGGGACGAAGAAAGUGACGGUACCUCAGGAAUAAGCCACGGCUAACUACGUGCCACCAGCCGCGGUAAUACGGAGGCGGCAAGCGUUAUCCGGAUUUAUGGGGUGUAAAGGGCGUGUAGGCGGGAAGGCAAGUCAGAUGUGAAAAAUCAGGGCUCAACCCCGGGCCUGCAUUUGAAACGGUUUUUCUUGAGUGCUGGAGAGGCAAUCGGAAUUCCGGGUGUAGCGGUGAAAUGCGUAGAGAUACGGAGGAACACCAGUGGCGAAGGCGGAUUGCUGGACAGUAACUGACGCUGAGGCGCGAAAGCGUGGGGAGCAAACAGGAUUAGAUACCCCAGUAGUC
rnacentral:rRNA from 1 species